GGCUCAGAUUGAACGCUGGCGGCAGGCCUAACACAUGCAAGUCGAGCGGUAGAGAGGUGCUUGCAUCUCUUGAGAGCGGCGGACGGGUGAGUAAUGCCUAGGAAUCUGCCUAGUGGUGGGGGAUAACGUUCGGAAACGGACGCUAAUACCGCAUACGUCCUACGGGAGAAAGCGGGGGGAUCUUCGGACCUGCGCCAUUAGAUGAGCCUAGGUCGGAUUAGCUAGUUGGUGAGGUAAUGGCUCACCAAGGCGACGAUCCGUAACUGGUCUGAGAGGAUGAUCAGUCACACUGGAACUGAGACACGGUCCAGACUCCUACGGGAGGCAGCAGUGGGGAAUAUUGGACAAUGGGCGAAAGCCUGAUCCAGCCAUGCCGCGUGUGUGAAGAAGGUCUUCGGAUUGUAAAGCACUUUAAGUUGGGAGGAAGGGUAGUAACCUAAUACGUUGCUACUUUGACGUUACCGACAGAAUAAGCACCGGCUAACUUCGUG
rnacentral:rRNA from 1 species